rnacentral:tRNA from 1 species
GCCGGUGUGGUGGAAUUGGCAGACACAAGGGACUUAAAAUCCCUCGCUACGGCUUGCGGGUUCAAAUCCCGUCACCGGUA